CAGCCGCCGCGGUAAUACGUAGGUGGCAAGCGUUGUCCGGAAUUAGUGGGCGUAAAGCGCGCGCAGGUGGUUUAAUAAGUCUGAUGUGAAAGCCCACGGCCCAACCGUGGAGGGUCAUUGGAAACUGUUAAACUUGAGUGUAGGAGAGAAAAGUGGAAUUCCUAGUGUAGCGGUGAAAUGCGUAGAGAUUAGGAGGAACACCAGUGGCGAAGGCGGCUUUUUGGCCUGUAACUGACACUGAGGCGCGAAAGCGUGGGGAGCAAACAGGAUUAGAGACCCCCGUAGUCCCUGUCUCUUAUAC
rnacentral:rRNA from 1 species